GCCUGGGUGGCUCAGUCGGUUGAGUGUCUGACUUCGGCUCAGGUCAUGAUCUCGGUUCGUGGGUUCAAGCCCCGCAUCGGGCU
rnacentral:tRNA from 1 species